rnacentral:lncRNA from 1 species
AAUCAAUGGGAUGCCAGAGAUAAAGCCAGGUCUUUAAGGAAGAAUGGGAGCCUCAUUACUCUUCCACAGAGAGCUCUUCCACUGUCUGCAGGCAGAGAGGUCUGAGGCCUCAGGGGCUGGAGGAAACGUAGAGUGGAAGGAAUGUGGGUCCCUGAAUCACUGCCUUUGGGAAGAGCAUCCGCUGCAGCCAGGGGUGCUGGCACUGGACCCUUACAUAGCCCGGGCCCACUCCUCGGCGGCCAUCCCUUGUCUUCUCCUAUGAAGGACCCCAGCUCCAUGUGCAGCGGCCUCCUGGAGAGGAUUUGCCAAGAACUGGAGCUGGGAGGAGCGGUGAGGAGGCUGGAGUCCCGGGAAGCAGGGCCCAGGGCCCCACGUGGGAACCUGCCUCCCCAGCCAGGUGUCACAGCCUCGGCACUGCGGCCACUCAGCUCAAACUGACUCAGCCAAAGGGCCGUUUAGUUGAAUCUGGAAGGCCAACCAACAAUAAAAGCCACCAAACCAAAAACAUCCCCUGUGCCCCUGUCCCCCCCAGCCCCCAGUUGAAACAUCCCUCUGUGCCAUGGGUGAAGAAAAGUCAAGUCUUGAGCUGUCAGGAGCCGACUUAGCAGAGGCUUGACCUGGACUUGGUAGCCCGGGUUCCUGGCUCUCCCUUCGCCCUCCCCAGGCCUCCGAGGCAGUGAGGAGCGGGGGACAGACAGGCCCUGAUUCACAGAGACCUGGCUUCACAUCUGCCACUUCUCAGCUCUGCGACCUUAACAGGCAAGCGACUUAACUCUUGGAGUCUAGGAUUCCUCAUCCGCACGGUGGACACUGGUCUUAGGGGAAUGUCCAAGAUUCAGGAAGAAGCAGGUGUCAAGGUGCUCAGCAUGUCGCAGGUCCCCAGCCUGGGCUGGGUUCCCCUUUCCUCUCUCCUGGGUGUCUUCAUCUGUGAAAUGGGUCCAUUUGGCUGCGUGGGCCCCUCAGCUCCUCCGGCUCUGAUGCUCUGAUGUGGUGGAGUCCAGAGGGUUUGCUAGACCACUGCAGCCAGUAGGGCUCAGGCGCUGCCUUCACCCUCACGCAGAGAACUUACUCUCCUGCAUCCCUGCCCAUCAGAAUUCUCCUUUAGCGCAAAACAGCUGGGAGGGGCUCAGGGUCCUCUGCCCCAUGGGGUUUGGGAAUGCAUGGACAGGAGCAAGCGGGGGACAAGCAUUUCUUUGGGGGUUGAGUUUGGGCCCCGGACUCCCGAUUCUUAGCAUGAUGUUCUGGGCAGUGGCUCCUUGCACAUCACAGCCCCCUGUG